GACGAACGCUGGCGGCGUGCUUAACACAUGCAAGUCGAACGAAGUGGCGAACGGGUGAGUAACGCGUAAUCAACCUGCCCUUCAGAGGGGGACAACAGUUGGAAACGACUGCUAAUACCGCAUACUGAAGGAGGGGAUUGCGUCUGCUUAGGUAGUUGGAGGGGUAACGGCCCACCAAGGCGAUGAUCAGUAGCCCGGCCUGGAAGGUGAACCGGCACAAUUGGACUGGAAAACGGCCCGAACCCCAACGGGGGGCGGCAGUGGGGAAUCUUCGGAAAGGAAGGAAGGUCGGACGAGCAAAGGCCGGUGAGGUAUUAAGGGCCUUCGGGUGUAAAGGCUUGGUAAUUGGGGAGCGGUACCGGAAUAGAAAGCCACGGCUAACUACGUGCCAGCAGCCGCGGUAAUAC
rnacentral:rRNA from 1 species